GCCGCAAGCCUAGUUAUUAGAAACCAACCCUUAAAUCGAGCCAAACAAAGCAUUUGAGAUGGUCAGUAGUGGGGAAGGAACACUAGCACAAACACUAUAGAGGAAGUACCGCAAGGGAAAGGGAAGAAAGCAAUAAAAAGCAAAGAUAAAGCCUUGUACCUUUCGCAUCAUGGUUUAGCGAGACGCGCCGGGCAAGGAGACCCCAAGCCCAAGAACCCGAAACCAAGUGAGCUACCCCCCAACAGGAAACACACCCGUCUCUGUAGCAAAAGAGUGGGAAGAUUGGUGGGUAGCGGUGAAAAGCCUAUCGAACUUGGCGAUAGCUGGUUACCCAAAAUUGAACCUUAGUUCUACCCUGAGCACACACCCCCCCCACGGAGCACAGGGACACUCAUUAGAGGAACAGCCCUAAUGAAAGGGGACACAACCCCCGCCUGAGAGUAAGCCGAAAGCCUUCACAGUAGGCCUUAAAGCAGCCACCCAUAAAAACAGCGUCAAAGCGCCAGACUAUUAAUUCACAACACAUUUAUCACCUCCAGCAAGAAUCAGGGUAACUCUACUCACGUAGAAAAACUAAUGCUAAAACUACUAAUUAGGGGGAGACCCCCUCUUAAGCACACCUGUCCAUUGGAGCGGACCAACCACCAACAGUUAUCACCACAAAGAAAACCCAAGCCACAAACCUUACACAUACUGUGACACCAACACAGGAGUGCCCCAAAGAAAGGUGAAAAGCCCUAGAAGGAACUCGGCAACCCCUGACCCCAACUGUUUACCAAAAACAUAACCUUUAGCCCCCCCAAUAUUAAAGGCAUCGCCUGCCCAGUGAGACAGCCUCUUAAACGGCCGCGGUACCCUAACCGUGCGAAGGUAGCAUAAUCACUUGUCUAUUAAUCAUAGACUGGUAUGAAAGGCUGCAUGAGGGUCAAGCUGUCUCCUAUGGCCCACCAAUGAAACUGAUCUUGCAGUCCAAAAGCUGUAAUAACCACAUAAGACGAGAAGACCCUGUGAAACUUUCAACAACCUUUUUCCCUGAGAAAAAGUACUUUCAGUUGGGGCAACUUUGGAAAAAAGCCAAACUUCCAAACACCUAGAACACCCACUACAACAAGGCUGACACGCCCACAUUACGACCCAGUACACCUGAGAAAUGAACAAAGCUACUCCAGGGAUAACAGCGCCAUCUUCUUCAAGAGCCCAUAUCAAAAAGAAGGUUUACGACCUCGAUGUUGGAUCAGGGCACCCCAGUGGCGCAGCCACUACUAAAGGUUCGUUUGUUCAACGAUUAACAGC
rnacentral:rRNA from 1 species